rnacentral:tRNA from 1 species
GGAUCAUUAGUUCAGUAGGUUAGAACGCCCAGCUCAUAACUGGGAAGUCACUGGUUCAAGUCCAGUAUGAUCCA